AAGUCAUAACAAGGUUUCCGUAGGUGAACCUGCGGAAGGAUCAUUAAUGAACGGCCGCAAGGCCUUGAUCAUCCAAACCUCUUGUGAACAGUGCCCUCGGGCAAGGGACCCUUGGCGUUACCCCUCGUGGGGAGGCUUAGGGUUCCCAUUACAAACAAAUGUGUGAUGAACGUCUAUUACUACAAACAAAACAAAA
rnacentral:misc_RNA from 1 species